GAUGAACGCUAGCGACAGGCUUAACACAUGCAAGUCGAGGGGCAGCGGGGGAGUAGCAAUACUCCCGCCGGCGACCGGCGCACGGGUGAGUAACACGUAUGAAACCUGCCCGUAGCAGGGGGAUAAGCGGAAGAAAUUCCGUCUAAUACCGCGUAAUAACUCCGAGAGGCAUCUCCUGGGGUUUAAAGGGUAACACCGGCUACGGAUGGCCAUGCGGCGCAUUAGCUAGUUGGCGGGGUAACGGCCCACCAAGGCGACGAUGCGUAGGGGUUCUGAGAGGAAGGUCCCCCACACUGGUACUGAGACACGGACCAG
rnacentral:rRNA from 1 species